rnacentral:rRNA from 1 species
AUUGAACGCUGGCGGCGUGCCUAAUACAUGCAAGUCGAACGCAGUGGGGACGGGUGAGUAACACGUGGGUAACCUCCCAUCAGAGGGGAUAACACUUGGAAACAGGUGCUAAACCGAUACUGAUGGAUGGACCCGGGGUGCAUUAGCUAGUGGGUGAGGUAACGGCUCACCAAGGCCACGAUGCAUAGCUGACCGGAGAGGAUGAUCGGCCACACUGUGACUGAGACACGGCCAAGACUCCUACGGGAGGCAGCAGUGGGGAAUAUUCGGCAAUGGACGAAAGCCUGACCUAGCAACGCCGCGUGAGUGAAGAAGGUUUUCGGAUCGUAAAACUCUGUUGGUAGAGAAGCGGUAUCUAACCAGAAAGCCACGGCUAACUACGUGCCAGCAGCCGCGGUAAUAC